rnacentral:lncRNA from 7 species
CUCGAACCGGGGCACCAAAACGACUCUGCAGAGCAUCACGUCGACGACCAGCGCGGGGGUGGGCGCCACCGUGCAUGGAAUCAGUGUGCAGCGUCGUUGUCCACCUAAAUAUAGUAUGGGAAGAAUCGGUCGCGCCAACCACGCAUCCUGGUGACCUCCUCUGACGGGGGAAUUGGCCGGAGUGCCGGCAAUUGCUCACCGAAUUUCAAGAAAUUGCCUCGGACCGCCCUUCAUCGUCGGCAUAGCGACCUGCUACUUAUUCCACGCGCGAGGUUACGAGUCAUCUGAAGAGCAAGUUGGUACCUGGAAUCUCAAGUCCCAGGUCAAGGACAGGUACCGCAGGAUGAGACGCAUCGAGGAUGCUGUGAUGAGUUCGUGAGAGGUCUAGGCCGUCGUCUCCUAGUCAACUUGGGUUGCUUGAUCGUUGUCUCCUUAUGAUGUAAUUAUUUAUUUGUUUUGUACAGAACUCUUAUUAUAUAGUAAAAAUGUGGUAUUCGUUUCUGUACCAUGAUUUAUCAUAUGUGUGAGACUUGGUCCAGCACACCUGGUGAUUAUCUCACGCCCGGGUUUUGGGGUCCCUG